AUGGAUCUUGAGGUCCUGGAGCAUAUACUUGAUGGAAGAGAGAAGCCAACAAAUCUAUCAUUCACACUUUUGAAGAAUAUCACAGAGAACUUCUCGGACGAUCUAGAAAUCGGUCAUGGUGGAUUUGCAACGGUUUAUAAGCACAGACCAGACAGCCAUCCAAAUCGAAGGAUCGAAACAACAUAUUUACGCGCUGAGGUAAGAGAAAGACUACUCUGUUUUGAGUAUAUCAGCAAUGGAAGCCUACAAAAAUAUAUCACUGAUGAAUUAAGGGGACUUGAAUGGAGUACACGAUAUGGAAUAAUUAGAGGCAUCUGUGAAGAUAAUGAUAUGGCGCAGAAAAUCACGGAUUUUGGCUUAUCAAGACUUGAUGAAAAGACCAAAACCAUGAGUAAAUACCGUCCUGGAUCAUUACGAUAUUGUGCUCCAGAAUACCUACAUCAGGGGAAGAUGUCAUUCAAAUCAGACAUGUACAGUUUGGGUGUUAUAAUUACCGAACUAGUGACAGGAGAAAAGAUGAUCCCGAAUAAUAAUAACAACAAUAGCAGGGCGGAUCGGGCGACGCCCUGCAUCCCUAGCUACUUGAAGCUCAUCCCAGGCAAAGUACUUAGGAGAUGGAGGCACAGAUGGAAAAAAUCAGGGAAGGAAACACCGUUGGUUUACCAACAAGUAGCAACAUGCAUCAAAAUUGGGCUACUCUGCCAGGAACAUGACCCAUCCAAACGGCCUUUUAUAUGGGAUAUGAUACAUGAUAUAAGAGAAAUUGAAGGUAUUAAUGGAAAAAUCAGCAAUGCCUGUGAACAUUCAUUUCGGCAGAACACACUCUUCUUGAUUUAUGGGGCUCUUUUCUUGCAGAUAGUCCCUUACUCAGAAGACAACAUGCUUGGCAUUGAGCCACUCGAACUACAUUUUCCUUUUGAGCUUAACAAACAGAUGUCAUGCGCACUCCAGCUAACAAAUGAGACAAACUCUUACAUUGCCUUCAACAUCCAAAAUACGAGCCCCUUGUCAUACUGCACAAAACCGCAGAAAGACAUUAUGCCGCCACGAUCCAAGUGUACUGUUGAAAUGACAAUGCAACUGCAGGGCAAGGCACCAGGAUAUAUGCAUCGUGCCAAUGAACUUACUGUGUGGAGCACCAAAGUGAAUGAUAGCCUUGCAGUCGAGGAUAUAACUACAAACAUGUUCAUUAAUGAGGUGGUCAACACGGUUGAUGAGGUGAAUUUGGAUGUGGUUUUUGACGCACAGCUACAAAACGAGCUUCUUGAUGUCCACCCUCUCGAGCUUGGCGUUUCCUUCGAAUCCAACAAGUUUGUAGUUAAAUCCUCAACUGCAAGGCAAGAGUUGCCUUUAGAAAUACAAUGCAAGGACAAGUCGCUGGUUCUAGGCACUAUAGUAAGCAAGGAUCAAGUCGACUCCACUCAGCCACAAGAAGCAAGUUCGGAAACAAGUGAGGCGCAAGAACCACUUGAAGGGGAUGAUGAGAUUUCUGCCCCUCUGGUUCGUGAUGACGACGCCGCCGGUCUCUCUCUAGUUCGUGCCGACCACCGGGCCGACCGGCGCCUGGAGCUUGUUAGAACUAAACAUGGACGUGAUUAG
rnacentral:rRNA from 1 species